rnacentral:tRNA from 1 species
GUCGGCGUGGCUGUGGGCGAUGCAGUCGGCGUGGCUGUGGGCGAUGCGGUCGGCGUGGGUGUCGGCGUUCCGUUUGUCGCGCCGUCCC